CAUGUUUAACGCAGAACUAAUUAAAUCUAAUGUUAAGCAAAUUUAUUUUAAAAUGGUUGUGAUUAUAUUAGAGAGUUUUGUAAUAAUACUAAUGUUUACCAUGAAAGAAAAGGUCGUCAAUGCCGAUAUUACUUGUAAUCAAUUUGUAAGUCUGAAUAAAUCAAAUGGAGAGCAAACAACUUUGUUAACGUAUACUUGUAUUGCUGCACAAUAUUGUUGCGUAAGUGGCUGUUGUCAAUUGUAUAACCUCUGGUACUUCUGGUUAAUUUUUGCAUUUUGUUUGAUAUUUUGCUGUACUGGAUCUUUCUAUUAUGGUUAUCGCAAAAAAAAAUCUUUGAAAGUUUGGCAAGCACCAAUGUUUGUAGAUAUGAGCUUGAAAGAACAACGAGAGAUAUGUGCGGAUUCUUUAAAUUUCCAGGCUCAUCGCAUCUAGAAUCAUUUUUCAUUUCCGCCUAAUUUUUCUAUUCAAAAUAAAUUUACUUAUGAAAGAAGAAAAGCUUUUAUUUUUUGGUGCAACGUCACGUUAUUAAAAUUAUAGUUACCAUCGUUUGAGCUCUUAAAUAAAUAUUAAAUUCUCAAAACAACGAAAAAGUUGUUCUGAGAAAAUUAAUUUAAAAUACGUUAAGAGAGUAUUUUAUAUUAAUUGAACUCAUAUUUUAU